CUCCAAAGUGUUGAGUUCAGAUCAGGGCAGCUUCCCUAUUCUCUUCAUUAAACUUUGUGACAUUGAAAUGGAGGCUAGGGAGGAUGGCUAAAUAUAAAACAUUACUCUAUUCAUUUACUCCUCUGCCUAAAAAA
rfam:Erinaceus europaeus unplaced genomic scaffold scaffold00030, whole genome shotgun sequence